UAAUUAAAAAAAAUAACCGUGAGAGUAAAAGAAAAAAAAAAAGAAUGAAUUGAUGGCAUGGAAGAAAGCAAAAAAGAUAUAUUUAAGAAAAUGGAAAAAGAUAUAGACAUGAAAUAUGAUGACCAAUAUAAGUGCCGGUUAGUAACUAAAAGUGGUUGCUCCAUCGUCCAUCAAGAAAAAAAAGAAUGAUUAGGGUGAGAGAAUUUAGAGGAAGAAGAAAAU
rnacentral:lncRNA from 1 species